CGCCGACGCCUGCUUCUCUCUUGGGAGGGCCAUGUCGCCUCAGGUCCGGCCCCCCAUCGGCCCGCCGGACGUAGGCAGGUAAGGACAGACGGCAGCUGAGAUUGGGCCUCACCUUCUUCUUCUCUGGUUAAGAAAGAAUUGGUUCUUUGGUGCGUUUUGCUGGGUGGGCGGCCUCGCUGAAUUAGUUGCCUCUGUUUUUUUCAUUUGUCAUCGAAUGUCCACCGACGGAGACCAGCACCCUCUGGAUCGCCAAGCUCUGUUCAGACCAAAAGAUAAGCGUGGAUUGCCCAAUGAAUAAAGCAAUAUCUUGAAGGUUUUUGCCGCUGCCGGUUGUUGGAUUCAUCAAACCUGCCUUUUAGAUUUGGCAAUGGAUUUGGGAUUAUUGAUGGCCUAGCCACUAAACAGUGAACGAAGGAGUCAGAGGUAGCUUGAAGCGCAAAUGCUUCACCGGCUCUGAUAAAACUCAUGUCUGCACAUGGAGCAGUACAAGCUAGCUACGACGGGCUGCGGACGCAUGUACGCGAAUGCUCAAGGAGCGCUGACCUCGGCGUCGAAAACUCGGGGCUCAGACGACCACGCCGAUCCGAAGCCCCGGCGGCAGAUCCACGCGGCCCCUUCAAGCAGUCGCCGGCCACCGCUGCCGCGCCUCCGCCACAGCCCCAGCCUGCCGCCGCGCGCAGCCCUGGCCACCUGGAGCCCAUACGCAGCCGCCCCGCAACUGGCCGACGAAAGCUUGGAGGAUUGUAGAGAGGAGGGAAGAGAAAGGGAACGCGGCGCUGUGGACUGGAGCACGGUCGUGUGGGUGUGUGUGGCUGGAGCAGGAAGAAGAGGCGACGUGGAUAAGGCACGCAGUGGGAGAUAGCUCUCCGUGUGGAUUGCUUUUUUAGUUGGCUGCAUCGACCAGAAGCUACUACUAGAUGUUGCUAUACGUGCCAGCACCGAUUGCAUUUUAUUUUUCUUCUAAAUGAGCACCAAUAUAAUAAUUGGUUGCUGUUGUUCGUUGUCACUGUUAUAGUUUAAUUUUCAUGCCUACCACAUCUUAUGAAUACAUCAUGUGAUAUACAAUAAUUAAAAAUGAGUAAAAUAUUUGAAUAAA